rnacentral:lncRNA from 1 species
CCUAGUUCUUUCCUUCCUACAGGACUCAGACUCUCUUGGACAGAAAUCUUCGUCCCCGUGAAAUGCUGCCAUGUCCCGAGAGACAAGGUGGGUGAGUUCUCUAACCUGAUGAUGUGAAGUUGGUUUCCUCUGAACAUCUGGUACAAGGGGACCAUCUGGGCCGGCCCCCAAAGCCACGUUGUUAUUUAUGCCCGUGGACUUAGGGCCACAGGAAUCAAUGAUUAUGAGGCAAACCCUGACAAGAUCAUGUUUCAGGGUGUCUCCCCUGUGAUAGAAAGAACAUGACCCCAUGUUCUUUCCAUGCCUGUUGGAACAAGAGAGUACACGUUUCUGCCACCCAGGCUCUGGCUGUGCAUGUGGUCUUGCUAGCUGAGAACUAUGCUUGACACCGGAGAUAAAGCACUGCAGGGGAAGUAUCGUGUCUUCUGGGAUCCUAGAGCAGAUUCAAGGGAAAAGAUCAUGAAGUCCUGUAUUACAAAGUCUCCAGUUCCAUUUCAAAGAACCUCCUCCAAACCUGUUAAAAGCAUCACUGGUCCAAAAACUGAAAUGGAGAAGAGACUUGGGAUCUCAGGAACUUCGGUGCCCCACGUGGUUCAGCCAAUCUCUCAUGUUAUUCAGCAAGCACGCACAGAGAGCAUCCUGGCCACCAAGUUGCCAGAGACAAGUGAGAAGAAUCUUUUGAAAAUAGCCUCUUCUUCAACCUCUGUAGAAACAUCAGUCUUUGAUACAAGGUGGUCAGAAAACUCAGAAAAGAGUACUUUUGCCUGGGCCUCAGCAGAGAGGUCCCUUCCAGCAUUGCAAGUUCCAUAACAAGUUCCAUGGUGACCACCAAACUGGCAGCUUGGUCCUCACUUGUAGGAUGGAGAAGGCAGGAGAACACUUCAGAAGAUGGGCCAGCCUCUGUGGACUCACCAGGCGUGAUGGCAGAAAAGAUGCUGUGAAUGUCACGUAUGCUUCCUGGCUACACUCAAGUUCUCAAGGAAUGGAUGUGCCUGAUCCCCUGUCUUACCAGAUAAGGGCCCUCACUGAGGAUGCUCUAGGAACCCACAAGGUGAAGAAGAGGUGCCCCUUCCUUGAAGACUCAGCUGGCAGAGAGGAGAAGCAGCGGGACAUCAGGACUAUGGCUGGACGUCAGAGAGAAGCAGCUUAACUUCAGAGGUGCAGCUUGAUGGUGUAACUUAGGAGAAGAAUCUGACUGGAGACGGCCAGACUUCAGAAGAAGAUGACCUACCCCCCCAUCCCCUUUUCAGCUUCCCUUCCCGCUGAGAGCCACUUUUAUUGGCAAUAAAAUCCUCCACAUUUACCACCUUUCAAUGUGUUCAUGUGACUUCAUUAUUCCUGGACACCGGACAAGAGCUCAGGGGCCACAGGUGUGGAUAUGAAA